AUCUUGCGCAAUGGUCGAAAGACUGACGCAGCGACGCCGCGUGGGGGAGGAAGGUCUUCGGACCGUAAACCCCUGUCACCGGGGAAGAAAUCCAGUGGGGAGGAAAUGCCCGGCGGGUUGACGGUACCCGGGGAGGAAGCACCGGCUAACUCGGUGCCAGCAGCCGCGGUAAUACAGAGGGUGCGAGCGUUGUUCGGAAUUACUGGGCGUAAAGCGCGCGCAGGCGGCUUCUUAAGUCUAUGGGUGAAAGACCGGGGCUCAACCCCGCGAGAGCCCGGGAUACUGGGAAGCUAGGGACAUGUAGGGGCGAGCGGAAUUCCGGGUGUAGCGGUGGAAUGCGUAGAGAUCCGGAAGAACACCGGGGGCGAAGGCGGCUCGCUGGGCAUGGUCCAACGCUGAGGCGCGAAAGCGUGGGGAGCGAAC
rnacentral:rRNA from 1 species